rnacentral:rRNA from 1 species
UGGAGGACCGAACCGACUAAUGUUGAAAAAUUAGCGGAUGACUUGUGGCUAGGGGUGAAAGGCCAAUCAAACCUGGAGAUAGCUGGUUCUCCCCGAAAGCUAUUUAGGUAGCGCCUCGGACGAAUACUACUGGGGGUAGAGCACUGUUAAGGCUAGGGGGUCAUCCCGACUUACCAACCCUUUGCAAACUCCGAAUACCAGUAAGUACUAUCCGGGAGACACACGGCGGGUGCUAACGUCCGUCGUGGAGAGGGAAACAACCCAGACCGCCAGCUAAGGUCCCAAAUUAUUACUAAGUGGGAAACGAUGUGGGAAGGCUUAGACAGCUAGGAUGUUGGCUUAGAAGCAGCCAUCAUUUAAAGAAAGCGUAAUAGCUCACUAGUCGAGUCGGCCUGCGCGGAAGAUGUAACGGGGCUAAGUAAUAAACCGAAGCUGCGGCAACAUAAUUUAUUAUGUUGGGUAGGGGAGCGUUCUGUAAGCGGUUGAAGGUGUGUUGUAAAGCAUGCUGGACGUAUCAGAAGUGCGAAUGCUGACAUGAGUAACGAUAAAGGGGGUGAAAAACCCCCUCGCCGGAAGACCAAGGGUUCCUGUCCAACGUUAAUCGGGGCAGGGUAAGUCGACCCCUAAGGCGAGGCCGAAAGGCGUAGUCGAUGGGAAACGGGUUAAUAUUCCCGUACUUCUUAUAAUUGCGAUGGGGGGACGGAGAAGGCUAGGUGGGCCUGGCGACGGUCGUCCAGGUUCAAGUACGUAGGCGGAAGGUUUAGGUAAAUCCGGACUUUCAUUAACGCUGAGAUACGAUGUCGAGCUACUACGGUAGUGAAGUCAUUGAUGCCAUGCUUCCAGGAAAAGCCUCUAAGCUUCAGAUUAUAAGAAAUCGUACCCCAAACCGACACAGGUGGUCGGGUAGAGAAUACCAAGGCGCUUGAGAGAACUCGGGUGAAGGAACUAGGCAAAAUGGUACCGUAACUUCGGGAGAAGGUACGCUCUUGGCGGUGAAGUCCCUUGCGGAUGGAGCUACUAGGAGUCGCAGAUACCAGGUGGCUGCAACUGUUUAUUAAAAACACAGCACUGUGCAAAAUCGUAAGAUGACGUAUACGGUGUGACGCCUGCCCGGUGCCGGAAGGUUAAUUGAUGGGGUUAGACUUCGGUCGAAGCUCUUGAUCGAAGCCCCGGUAAACGGCGGCCGUAACUAUAACGGUCCUAAGGUAGCGAAAUUCCUUGUC